rnacentral:rRNA from 1 species
CGGGGGGAGCAAGCGUUGUUCAGAUUUACUGGGCGUAAAGGGCGCGUAGGCGGCCACCGCAAGUCGACUGUGAAAUCUCUGGGCUUAACCCAGAACGGUCAGCCGAUACUGCGGGGCUAGAGUGCAGAAGGGGCAACUGGAAUUCUCGGUGUAGCGGUGAAAUGCGUAGAUAUCGAGAGGAACACCUGCGGCGAAGGCGGGUUGCUGGGCUGACACUGACGCUGAGGCGCGAAAGCUAGGGGAGCGAACGGGAUUAGAUACCCCGGUAGUCCUAGCCUUAAACGAUGAAUGCUUGGUGUCUGGGGUUUUAUAGUCCCCGGGUGCCGUCGCUAACGCUUUAAGCAUUCCGCCUGGGGAGUACGGUCGCAAGACUG